rnacentral:rRNA from 1 species
CAGUGUCUGGUGGGUAGUUUGACUGGGGCGGUCUCCUCCUAAAGAGUAACGGAGGAGCACGAAGGUUGGCUAAUCCUGGUCGGACAUCAGGAGGUUAGUGCAAUGGCAUAAGCCAGCUUGACUGCGAGCGUGACGGCGCGAGCAGGUGCGAAAGCAGGUCAUAGUGAUCCGGUGGUUCUGAAUGGAAGGGCCAUCGCUCAACGGAUAAAAGGUACUCCGGGGAUAACAGGCUGAUACCGCCCAAGAGUUCAUAUCGACGGCGGUGUUUGGCACCUCGAUGUCGGCUCAUCACAUCCUGGGGCUGAAGUAGGUCCCAAGGGUAUGGCUGUUCGCCAUUUAAAGUGGUACGCGAGCUGGGUUUAGAACGUCGUGAGACAGUUCGGUCCCUAUCUGCCGUGGGCGCUGGAGAACUGAGGGGGGCUGCUCCUAGUACGAGAGGACCGGAGUGGACGCAUCACUGGUGUUCGGGUUGUCAUGCCAAUGGCACUGCCCGGUAGCUAAAUGCGGAAGAGAUAAGUGCUGAAAGCAUCUAAGCACGAAACUUGCCCCGAGAUGAGUUCUCCCUGACUCCUUGAGAGUCCUGAAGGAACGUUGAAGACGACGACGUUGAUAGGCCGGGUGUGUAAGCGCAGCGAUGCGUUGAGCUAACCGGUACUAAUGAACCGUGAGG